AUGAUCUCCCCGUCGGCACACCUGAACCAAUCUGGCAACCCAAAUAAUGACGUUACACCACUCUUAGCAACGAUUGGUCAACAUAUUUGCAUCUGGGCCUGGCACAGUGUGCAUUUACGAGAGGAGUUUGUUUCAAUAAAGUUGGGGAAAAGAAAAAAACGAGCACAUUUUGUCACGACAGUCAAAGCGACAACAAGAGAACUUCAUGCCACAGAAAAAGAUGAAGAACUUCAACAUCAAUCAAAAGUAUCAAAAAUAUUGGAGGUUGUGCAGGGUCCACAUCCCAAGAUGAUCCUGACAUCACUGAAAAUGUCAUCUCAGGUAAUUUUAAAAGCAUGUAAAAUCAUUAAAAAAAACAGUGUCUGCAUAAACCUUUUUUUCAUUAACAGCAGCUCAAAAGUAUGGAGCCCCAAACUGUUCAUAAUUAAAUUAAUAAAUAUGAUCUCAUGCAAAUACACAAUCAACCAAUAAAUCUCUUAUAAAUAUAUAAAAUGAUCAUGAAAUUGUGAAAAACCUGCACACAGAUUUUAAAUGAGCCACUAAACUAUUAUUAGUAUUCUGCUAUAGAUAUUUAAUUAGCUUUAUCAUUGAUUAUUGUAUAAUGAUAAUUCUUGUUUUUUAGCUGCAGAAGAAACUCCUGUCACCACAUCUACUGUUGAAAGGGAAAACAAUUGACUUUUAUUUUUCGCUGUUUGCUUUUAUUGAAAUUCUGUAUCUCAUGUUCCAGAGGCUCCAAGAGAGGCGUGUAUGGAAGAGGAGCCGACUGGAUCCAAAAUUCCACCUACCGGUACCUCAAAUCCAGUUGGUCCAGCUGAAUGACCAACCACACUCUCUGAUCCAGAAAGAAUGGAUUUGGUGCAAAGAGGUCCUUUUCAGACCGAUAAAGACUAUGACUUUCCAAAAUCCCCCUCAUUGAGCUGUUGUGUUCUUUAUGUUGGAUUGUUUUAUCGUUAUUUGAUUUUCUAUUAAGUUGCUGUUUUUAAUAAGUUGGAAUUUUGAGAAUGUCAUUUGUUGAUUGCCUAAUGUUACAUUAAAAAUAUAUAUAUAUUUAUAUAUACAUUUGUCAUUCUUUUUUUUUUCUUUGCAUUUUAAAAUUUGUUCGGCACCACUAAAUGUGCAUCCAACAUGCAGGCAAUUUACUGUAUUCAAUUCUUCGGCAGCAAAAAUAAUUCACAAAUGUAUUAAUAGACAGAUCUCAUUUAUAUUACAACAAAAGUUGCGUUUUUUUUUUGGUGCUGCUGACCAGUUAGAGGGCCCACAAAUUAAAUUUCGCUUAGGGCCCCCAGAAGACCAGGGCCGGCCCUGCUCAGGAGUCAUAUAGAGUUUAAACACGACCAAAGAUUUUUCACACAAACCAACAAACAAGAGGUUUUUUUUGCUUGUCCCUCACACAAAUAACUGUUGUAUUUUGUAAUAAUUUCCAUCUUUUUUUGCAACAUUGCUACUAGAACUCACUUUUCAUCUUUGCCCAGGAAUAUUAAUUUAAUGAAUCAUGAAAUUAAUGAAUGAGCACAGCCUUGAAUGAUCUUUUACACUUUUUUUUAAUCUUUUCCACUAUUAAGGUUGUAUUAGGUUACAUUUUUACUGAAUGCUUUUUGUACUAAAUUGCAUGCUUUAACUAUGAUUUAUAAACCAACAAAAUUGAGUGAGUGAAGUUAAAUAGGCUUUAAAUGAAGGACUUUUCAUUUUCAGAGCUCUUUUUUCCACAACCUAAAGAAGAGUAAUUGGAUUUUAACAACAACAUUCAUGUUCAACACUAGAU
ensembl:lncRNA